AGGUGAGGCGGCACGGCUCAGAGCUUCCGCCCGGGUUUGCGGGAACAAAGGAGCGCCCGGCGGAAGGGAUCCCUAGUGAACUCAGAAGUUAGUUUUCGUCUCUGGACCUUUUUAUAAUCGGACUUCAGCCCAUCACUCUCUCGUUUUGUCUUCAGAAACGGCGACAGCAGCCUCUUCCCAAUGUUGAGAGCAAAAAGUGUGAACCCAGAAAUUCCGAGACAGAUCUCAAUUACUUGCCAAGGUUGAGGACGCGCGCGUGACAGCCUCAGGAAGUCCUCACGACAUGUGCCCAAGGUGGUCGGGGCACAGCUUAGUUUUACACGUUUUAUGGAGACAGGAGACAUCAAUAAAUGUAUGUAAGAAGAACAUUGGUUCUGUCUGGAAAGGCAGGACAACUUGAAGCAAAGGCAGGAAGACGUGAAGCAGGAAGGGGGCUUCCAAGAAACAGAAGGAUAGAUGCGACAGAGCAGGACUCCUUCCUCCAUGGAAUGUGCUGAUUUCAGACGACGUGGCACCCAGUGUAGAAAACGCUGGAAUUUUUCCUUGGAACUGGACUGUGAUGAGAGGUGCUUGCCAUGAACAUAAGCUACUGUCUUUUCUUUUUUUGAGAUGGAGUUUCGCUCUUGUUGCCCAGGCUGGAGUGUAAUGGCACGGUCUUGGCUCACUGCAACCUCCGCCUCCCAGGUUUGAGUGAUUCUCCUACCUUAGCCUCCCGAGUAGCUGGGAUUACAGGCAUGCGCCACCAUGCCCAGCUAAUUUUUGUAUUUUUAGUAGAGACAGUGUUUCUCCAUGUUGGUCAGGCUGGUCUCAAACUCCCGACCUCAGAUGAUACACCUGCCUCCGCCUCCCAAAGUUUUGGGAUUACAGGAGUGAGACAUGGCGCCCAGCAAGCUACUGUCUUUUCUUUGACCCUUUCCAGUUUUUGAAAAUAAAGCAGGAAAUAAUCUUCUCUGAA